UUACUUUUUCUUCAAUGUCGACAUGAGCUGUCCUCCACUUCCACUUUCUUUCUCCUUUUUCUUUUUUACAGAGACUCAACUCCUUUCUUCAAUAAUGAUGGCGAUCUUCUUUUUUUUAAUUAGUGUCAUCCUUCUUCUUUCCUUUACCUAAGUCGCCUUUUUCUUCAAGACCAGAUGUCCUUUUUCUUUAAUGUCGCCGACCCUUCCUCCCUUGUUCGCCGAGUCUCUCUUUCAUCUUAAUUAAGCUCACCUGCUUUCAUUGAGGUCAAAGUAAAUUAUCCGACCUACUCAUCGCUGCUCUUUUUUAAAGUCGCCGGCGACCUCUUUGGAGCAGAUCUGCCUUGUCCGUUUUUGAGAUCUCUAAUUACAGACCGACCUCCGUUACAUUCAGCUGCUGCGGUUUGACCUGCUAUCGAGGUAGAUGCUUAUAAAUUAUAUUUUCUCCUUUUGUAUGUUCUUCCAAACUUUGCUGAACUUGCUCCUAUAUCUGACCUCUUUAUUUUUUUUUUUUUUACUUAUCCGAGCUUGAAUCCAUCCGAUCUGUCUUCUGUUUUGAAAUUGAUUUGCUCAAGUUUCUAAACUGAACCAAUCCCUUAUCGCUCUUCGCUGUUAAGCCCACCUUUGAUCUUGACACCCCUUUGAGUUCCAUUUCGCCAAAGUUGAUUUGUUCAUAUUUCCAGAACUCUCUUCCUCACCAGCUUAUGGUCUCCAUUUUUUUGUCGACCUUGUUUCUACUUACCCCGAACUACUGUCCAGUGAAAUCUUCUGAUGUUUCCUCUAAAUUUCAUUCAUCGAUUCUCACAGAUGUCUCCAAACUCGACCGAUUCUACCAGUUCUUCCAGUUCGGAUUCUUCAAGCUCUUCCAGCUCGCCUGAUUCUUCGCCGAGCCAGAGUGAUCCUACUGAAAAACGAGUGGCUUCUCCUGCACCUGCUCCAUCCGAUCCGACUUCGUCUAGUUCCUCCAAUUCUUCUCAAUCCUCGCUGAGCCAGAAAGAUCCGAAAGGAAAACAUGUGGCUACCUCGGGUUCACCGUCCUCGUCUAGUUCUUCCUCGACAUCUGAAAAAGAUUGCCGUAGAGAAGAAAGCAGCUGCUUCAAAGGCAACCUCUGAGUUGCUGAUAGUAGGAAUUUUUCAAUCCUUGAUCAAUUCCUCAACUACUCAUGUCAUUGUAGCACUUGAGGUAUCAAUCCAAAUGGAGAGAUUCUAGACACUAGAACUAUGAGGAUCAAUUCUUAAUCCAAGUCUAAUAAGCAGAUGAGUUGGUAACCAAGAUUAUCUAAAAGCAUAUAACAAAACAAGCAAGAACAAACAGUAAUUAAGAAUUAAACAAGCAAGAGAAACUAAACAAACACUCAAAUUCAAAUAAAAAGAAAGCUAAACCUCUAGAUGUGAUCAUUGAUUAGGGUGCUUUAAAUGUGAAUUCAUGAUGCUAAGCAAACAAUGCAACACUUGCAAAUCUUUAGUCUAGACUUCCAAUUCAGAUUAAUUCAUUCUCAUGACAGAAAUCCCUUUGUUAAUUACCAAUUCAAGACUAAUUCUCAUUAGUGAAUAAGCAAUUAACAAGCAUAAGGUUCCAAGUCUAACAUGACCAGACAGCCUCUUUGUGCAUCAAAAUAAGAGCCAAGAAAGACUGAAUCUUAUACAGAAAGAUAAAGCAAGCAUCACAUGAUCUCAAAUUCCAAUUAACUUAGAACUCUAAUCUAGAUUAAUCCUCUCAUGAAGGCACUAACCUCUACACUAAUCCAUUUUCAAACCAAAUCAUCAUUUGUGAAAUAUGAAUCAAUGAGCAUUAAGAAACAGUUCUAAUAUGCCAUUCAUGCAUUUAACAAUCAUUCCCAUGACAUUAAUGCAUAAACCCUUAGUUAGCUUUCAUUCAGGCAUUUCAUCAAACACUUUUGGUGCAUGAAAAACCCAGAUUCUAGACCCAAGUGAUGUGCAAGGAUCUAGCAUUAGGAUCAGCUAACUAAGGAAAGGAGAAGAGAAUCUAAGCUUAAACAAUCAUUAAUCUACAUCUAAGCACCCUAAUCUACACACCUAGAAGCUUAAAAGAUGACUACUCACUAAUCAUGAAGAACACAUCUAAUCUUUUGCAAGAGAUGAUGUUAAUCAUGAUUAGAAGCAGAAAUGAGAUGAUGAGAUGAUGAGAAACAGACUUAGAUUGAUUAAAUCCUUGAGAUCUCUCUUAAUCAAAAACGUUUUUACACUAAAAAGGAAAGAAAACUAGAGAGAAAACUAAGAGAGAAGAUGAUCCCCUUGGGUUUUUCUCCCAAAAAACUAUAUAUACCUAGUGCUAAUGGACCGGGUCAGCCCAGGACAAACUGGGUACUGACCCGGCUCAGUUGGGUCAAGUGGAAAUCCUGCGGGUCAGUCCAGUAUGUCCCAGGUCGCACACCUAAGUCGCAGUAGAUGAAGACUUGUCUUGUGAAGCCUGAAUCGCCUUGUCUUAGCCGCACGCCUAAGUAGGAGUGUUUUGCGAGUGUUGCUGCGGCUUGGUCUCCUUCCUCUCCAACUCGCAGGGCUAAGGCGGUUUCUGGGGAAUGUACAAACUGUGCGGGUUGGUCUCUAUUGCACCUAGGUCGCAGGCUCAAGUCGGAGUGAUUUGCGAGUGUUGCUGCGGCUUGGUCUCCUUCCUCUCCAACUCGCAGCAUCCAGAGCAGCUUAGACCACUUCGCAUUCCGGAGAGUGUAACUCCUAUGAGACUUGUCCGAAUUGAAUGAUUUCGGUUGCAGAAGACAGAGGACUCAUUUAUCUCCAACUUUGGUGAAGAAAGCUUCGGUGCUUGGGAAGUGUAAGGCUUCCUGGAGGGCACAUCUUUGCAGUGCAUGUACACGACCAGAGAGAGGCGUCUAGACAUGUGUCCAUUCCGGAGACUGUAUCUUUCUGCUCAUAGAUCCGAAUUGAAUGCUCUUGGACGUUCUGGAAAGAAGACUCAAAUUUCUAUGGUUCUCAUGAAGGACCCGGAAACUAAAUCGGCCUGGAAGUGCACCGUCCUUCGCAUCCUUUAGAACUGAUCUGCUCGGUCAGGAAUACCUGCGAGACUGGGGUUCCUUCCGACAAGCUUAUCUCUCUGCUCACGCGUCCGAAUUCCACGAUUCUACUUGCUAAGAGACCGUGAUGCAAUGCUCUCCAACUUCUAUGAAGCACCCGCCGUCUGAAUCGGACCGGAAGGCUCCCCGGACAGGUGAUCAUUCAGGGGUAUCGGAUUGCUCCGGAAUGAGUGGGAGACCUGUUCGUCUUCCGAUUACCAUAUCUUUCAGUUCUAUGGUCCAAAUGCCUUGAUUCCAACUGUUAUGAACUCUUGACUCAAUUAUCUCCAACCUUUAUGAAGACUCCGAUAGCUGAAUCUGACCGGAAGGUUCCCCGGACGGGCGAUUUCGGAAACGUGUCUGCACCCGGAGAUUUUGGCCGAGAGACUUGAUUCGCGGUACAUGAAAAUGGCCGGUAAAGCUUCCCGCGGUACAUGGAAAUGGCCGGUAAAACCUUCCUGGCCAGCGAGAAUGGCCGGUAAUCUCCCAGGACCCAAUUUUCCACUUUUUUCAAGCUUUGCUCACCAUUCCACCUCCUGGAUUCAUCUUUUCAGCUCCAUAUUCACCUGAUAGACACUCAAAACAUGCAAUAUACUCAUUGGGACCUAAUGCAUCUCCUAAGUUCUAAAACAAACCCUAAGGACCUAAAAUGCAUGAAAUAAAACAUAAUUUGGAAUGAUUUAUGCAACCUAAAUGAUGCAAAUUAUGAACAUAUCAGUUGCAAACCGAGAUUUCUGAUCUCAAGGGACAGAUUGUCGAACUCGACGCCAAACGAGAUUUGCUAUCAAAAGAGUUGAAGGACGAACAAACGCGGCUUAGAGGGGCUCGGAACAGAGCACUUCGAGGGUGGAAAAUGGCAACUGAAAAGUGCCAAGUUCGAGUCUAGAAGUCGAACAGGCGCCAAUCCGAGAUUGAAGCGCAAAUGGAACCAUAUCUCGAGUAUAACCAGCUUUGCGGGAUUCUUGGUUUCUGUGAUGAAUACGGUCUGAAAGGCGGUGCGAUUUCUCCAUCUGUUAUCAGCAAGCUUGAGAGGCGCAAGGCACACAGCGAGCUAGGUUCAAGUCGCUCUCUAUGACCGAACUUGAGCCUGAUGAUACCCGUGUUACACCGUUUCGUGACGACCUUUACCCAGGGAUCGAUCAGGUGAUUGGAUUUGAUGUUCCCGCAGGUCUGGACAUGUUUGGAUCUAACUCUGAGGAGAUAUCGGAUAGGCAAGCUUCUGACAUGAGGAGUUGAGCUUCAGACUGAUCUUAGUUUUUUUUUUAAUCUUUUGUUAGACUAUUUUCCUGGUAUUAUAUACAUUGCCUGAGGAGGCUUUUAAACCUUGACUUGUUUGCCCGGGUGGGCUUUUGACGUGUUAUGUUAUGAGGUCGGAUUUUCUAGAAUCUUGUAUUUUUCAUUAAAUACUUGUGUUCGAGGAAGAUUUGACUUUGCGAACUGUGAGUUCGGCUUAUUUUGCAAGUGUUGAAAAUUUGGCUUACAUUUUUCGAGUGUUGAGAACUUGGCUUAUAUUUUGCGAGUGUUGAGAACUCGGCUUAUGGUGCGAAUCUGAGGUGUUCGGCUUAAUUUUUGCGAGUUCAAUGAACUCGGCUUGAAACCCAAGGGAGUUCUCUCGUGAUGGAAGGACGGAGUUCGAAAGAAGCGUUUCCUUGUAAACACACGAUGAAACUCCAGGUUUCCUAGAUCGAAUCGGAGUAUGCGGGAUGAGCCCGGCUUAUUGUUCUCAGAUGACCUAGGAAUAAGUAAUGCGGGACUGGCCCCGGCUUUAAAAAUUGUGGAUUCUUUCACCACGACGCCAUGUGGAGGCUUGCGAGACAGAUCUCGGCUUUUUGAGGUUGCAUUGUUGAGAAAUGCUAUCGAAUGUCUGGCCAGGACAUCGAUGUGAAUACCGAUGAGUUCAGUUACGACUGCGAACAUAGGAGUUCAGCUUAACAGAUACUUAGAAAAAUUAAAAUUUAUUAAUAUACCAGCUGAACUCUUGACGAGCUGCCUACGUACCCGCGAAGGGAUCAAACCAUUCGUAGUUCAUGUUACAACGUUUAGAGCUCGUAGAGUGUUCCUUUUUUUUUUUGAUCGGGUUACUGAUCUAAUAGUAGACCUAAUAGUAGUAUCUCUUCAUACUCAUCGAAUUCCACGAUCUCAGAAUUGGAGUUCCAUCCAUCUUCAUGAGUUGAUAAACACCUGGUUUUACGACCUUCAUUAUCUGAUACGGGUCUUCCCAAUUGGCACCGAGCUUACCAGCGUUUUUUUCCUCUGUAUUCUGAAACACUUUUCGGAGAACGAGAUCACCGUCUUCGAAAAACCGACCUCGAACUUUCUUGUUGUAGUAUCGCGCCGCCAUGUGUUGAUAAUUCUGAAUUCGGAGUAAUGCUUGGUCGCGUUGCUCUUCUAGUUCAUCAAGUUUGUCGUACAUCAUUUGGUCGUUAGUUUUGGGAUAUUGAGUGAGCAUCGUCCUUCUGAUGGGCGGAAUUGAAAUUUCAGCUGGGCAAAGAGCCUCGACACCAUAUGCUAAGGAAAAGGGAGAUUGUCCUGUUGAUCUUCGAGGUGUUGUUCGAUGCGACCAUAAUACUCCGUCGAGUUCGUCAGACCAAGUUCCUUUCUUUUCAGUGAGCCGUUUUUUUAGGCCGUCUAUAAUAGUUUUGUUUGUCGCUUCUGCUUGACCAUUGCCCUGAGGGUACCUAGGUGUAGAGAAGUUCAAUCGAAUUUUCCAUUCAGCGCAAAAGUCUUGAAAAACGGCCGAAGUGAACUGAGAUCCGUUGUCGGUGACAAUCUCAUAAGGAAUCCCGUGUCAACAAAUGAUGUUUUUCUAGACGAAUUUCUUGACCUCGUUUCCGUGUAUUUCUGGGUAGGCUUUGGCUUCGACCCAUUUGGUAAAGUAGUCCGUCAUGACGAGGACGAACUGCUUUUGAGUUGUGGAUCGGCAAAAAGGGCAUAUGAUGUCCAUCGCCCAUCGCAUAAACGGGUAAGGAGCUGUGGAGGUUGUUAACAGUUCAGUAGGAAGGUUGAUCAUUGGGCCAUGCCUUUGGUACCUCUCACACUUAGCGACAAAUUUUUCGCAACUGAAACCAUAGUAGGCCAGAAAUAGCUUGCCUUCUUUAUCUUCAGGGCGAGAGACCGACCUCCAGAGUGAUUCCCACCUGAUCCUUCGUGAACCUUCUUCAUAAUUUCCUUAAUCUCUUUGCCGGAUACGCAGAUGAGAAGAAUUCCUGCUGCGCUCCAUCGGAAUAGGCCGUCCUUGAUCAUCAUAUACCGAGCCGCACGCAUUUUUAGUCGGUGUGCUUCCCAUUUGUCCGGUGGUAGCUCUUCAUUCGCUAAGUAUGCUAUAAUUUCUUGCGUCCAAUCUGGAGGUACUUCCUCAUCGUUUUCGUCCACAUUUAGUGGGUCGUGACGACCUUCGGAAGGAAGUUCAGCAUCGUCUUCGUUCUCUUGAACGAGGUCGGUCUCGUCAAUCCGACCAUCAAAAUUGAGUGGCAGAUUUGUGUCACCCAAUGUGCGCCUUCGACGUCGUAAAGGUGGUUCAAGAUUCGGUUCCGCCUCAUAAUCUCUUCGUCGGGUAGUAACGUUGCAAUCCUUCAUAGUUUUGAUACUGGGUCGUGAGAUACUUUCAAUCGGGAUUGUUCGUUUGAGAUGUGGAUCCGAAUUUGAUGCGAGAGCUGCUAAGGCAUCGGCAGGCGCAUUCUCUCCUCGAGGAAUUUUCGUAAGGUUGAAUGUGUUGAACUCUGCUGCGAGUUGCUUAACUAGUUGUAGGUAGGCCUCCAUUCGAUCAUUUUUGGUAUCAUACUCCCCGCUGAACUGACUAGCAACGAGCUGAGAAUCGCAGUAGGCGUGAAGAUGUUGUGCGCCGAUUUCCUUUGCAAGACGGAGGCCGGCGAUAAGUGUCUCGUAUUCGGCUUCGUUGUUAGACGCUGGAAAGUCUAAACGAAAAGAUUGUUCCAACAGUUUGCCGGUCGGUGUUUUAAGCUGAAUACCAAUUCCAUAUUCUUUAUAGGAUGACGAUCCAUCAACGUGAAGCACCCAUUUUUCAGCUUCGGUUAAGUCAGCUUUGAUGAGUUCGGGUGAAAGUUCAAUAAAAAAAUCGGCUAACACUUGUGGUUUUGCGCUAGUCCGGUUUUUGUACCCAAUGUCGUACUUGCUUAGUUCGAUAGCCCACUUCGCAAGACGUCCUGACUGGCUGGGAUUGUGCAAGAUAGCGCGGAGCGGUUGGUCGGUGAGCACCGUGAUGGAGUGGGACUGAAAGUAGGGUCGGAGUUUUCGCGCCAAGGUGACAACAGCCAAUGCCAAUUUUUCUAAGGUCGGGUAUCGUGACUCCGCGUCGUUGAGUGCUUUGCUUGUGUAGAAAAUUGGCUUCUGCUCGCCACGAUCUUCUCUGACAAGAACGCUACUGACAGCCGAGACAGAUACUGCAAUGUACACAUACAGGGUCUCGCCGUCCUCUGGUUUGGCUAAAAUCGGAGGAGUAGACAAGUAUUCCUUUAAUUGUUUGAAUGCGUGUUCGCAGUCGUCGUUCCACUCAAGAUGCUUAUUGCCACGAAGGAUUUGGUAAAAAGGUAAGCAUUUGUCCGUUGAUCGAAAUAUGAAUCUAUUUAGUGCAGCAAUUCGUCCUGUAAGCUUUUGGACUUCGCGCUUCGUGGUCGGGGAUGGAAGCUCGAGGAUCGCCGUUAUCUGUUUUGGGUUAGCUUCGAUCCCUCUCCGAGUCACAAUAUAUCCGAGAAAUUCACCGGACGUAACUCCGAAUGUACAAUUAGUAGGAUUUAGCUUCAUGCCAUACUGGUCAAGUAUCUCGAAACAGGUUUGGAGAUGUCGAACAUGAUCUUUGGCGAGAAGAGACUUGACGAGCAUGUCGUCAAUGUAGACCUCCAUGGUUCGGCCGAGCUGACUGGCAAACAUUCGGUUAACAAAUCGUUGGUAGGUCGCCCCAGCGUUCUUUAGCCCAAACGGCAUGACUUUGUAACAAUAAAUUCCACGAUCCGUGAUAAAAGAAGUCUUUUCACGGUCUUCUGGAUGCAUAAGUAUUUGAUUAUAACCGGAGAAUGCGUCCAUAAACGAAAGAAGUUCGUUUCCUGCGGUCGCCUCUACCAGCCGAUCAAUAUGUGGUAAAGGGAAACUGUCUUUGGGACAAGCUUUAUUCAGGUCGGUGAAAUCAACGCAAAUUAUCCAUUUCCCGUUCUUCUUUUUGACGACGACGGGAUUAGCAAGCCAAUCUGGAUAUCGAACUUCAGUGAUAGAUCCUGCUUGAAGUAGUCGCUCGACUUCGUCAUUAACGGCUUGUGCCUUUUCAAGUCCAAGUUUGCGUCUUUUUUGUUUGACGGGUUUGAAAGUAGGGUCGAUAUUGAGUUCGUGGCGUGCCACCUUUGGAUCUAUGCCCGGCAUAUCGCUGAUCGACCAUGCGAAGGUUGUCACGUGCUUGCAGAGGAACUGAAGUAUAUCUUCCCUGAUUUCUGGAUCCAGGUCGGCACCUAUACCGACCUGUCUUUCAGGGAAAGUCUCGUCGAUGCUGACCUGAACUACCGUUUCUUGUGGUGGCUUCUGCUUUUGAGUUAUUGGGUCGGACUUCGCUCUGAUGGCACACGAUUGAUUAGCAAUUCGGAGCUUGCAUUCAUUAAUGUAACAUGAUCGAGCUGUAGCUUGAUUUCCACGAAGUGUAUAAAUUCCUCCUGAAGUUGGAAAUUUGACGCACUGAUGAUAAGUAGAAGCUACUGCCUUCAUUGCAUGGAGCCAAGGCGUUCCGAGGAUGGCGUUGUAGAUUGCUGGUGUCUUCAUGACGAAGAACUUAACAGUUUUUGCAACACCCGCAACGUAGAUCGGUAUUUUGACAGUACCGACUGUCAUGGUUUGCUCUCCCGUGAAUCCUGUUAACGGUUCGAUGUCCGCCUUACUUUUUUCCUUAGGAAAAUCCAUCUGCUCGAGUGUAUCUCGGAAGAUGACGUUAACCAAACUGCCAGUGUCGAUCAAGACUCGACUUACUUCGACAUCGUCAAAGAGUAGGUCGACUACAAGAGAAUCGUUGUGUGGCAUUUGGAGACCGAUUGUAUCCGCUUCUGUGAAUGCAAUGGCUGGUCCGCUCGUCGUUGUUGCGCUGAGUUUUGACGCGGUAAUCGCCUGUCGACUAUACUCUUUUAUCCCCCGAACUGAGUAGUUGCACAUCUCGAGUUUGCCCAUGAUAAAGUUGACUCGUUUCCUAGGUUUUGGUACAUGGGUGUCUGUGUCGUUGUUUUCCCGACCUUGUUUUUGCUGCUCGGGUCUGGCUGGUUGUGGGUUAUCUGUUUGGUUGUACCAGCGGUGUCUUGGAUCCUUUCGUUUAUGACUGUAUUAGGUUGCUCUUGCUUUUCAUUGUUGCAUCGGAAAGGAGUUCGGCGAACAUCGUCCAUUGAAAUUGAUACUUUUCUGAAUUGUUCUAGGAGGUAAUCUUUCAAGUGUCGGCAUUCUUCGGUGCUGUGUCCUUUACGGUUGUGGAAUUCGCAGAACAAUGUCUCGUCUUGAUCGUCAUUACCGCAAAUCCAUUUGUUGUUCCAUGGUCGCUGUGGUUGAGCCGAGUUGACAUUGUUACUUGUGAAUUUUCGUCGAUUGUCGAAUCCUCUAUCGUAGGUCGGACGUGACUCGUUAUUAUCAUUUUUAGGUCUCUCUUUUGGGUCGACCUGCUUUUGUGAAGAUUUGCUCUGAUCGUAG
rnacentral:lncRNA from 1 species